rnacentral:rRNA from 1 species
AUACGUAGGUGGCGAGCGUUAUCCGGAAUUACUGGGUGUAAAGGGAGCGUAGGCGGACGCUUAAGUCAGUUGUGAAAGUUUGCGGCUCAACCGUAAAAUUGCAGUUGAUACUGGGUGUCUUGAGUACAGUAGAGGCAGGCGGGAUUCGUGGGGUAGGGGUGAAAUGCUUAGAUAUCACGAAGAACUCCGAUUGCGAAGGCAGCCUGCUGGACUGUAACUGACGCUGAUGCUCGAAAGUGUGGGUAUCAAACAGGAUUAGAUACCCUGGUAGUCCACACAGUAAACGAUGAAUACUCGCUGUUUGCGAUAUACAGUAAGCGGCCAAGCGAAAGCGUUAAGUAUUCCACCUGGGGAGUACGCCGGCAACGGUGAAACUCAAAUGAAUUGA